rnacentral:misc_RNA from 1 species
UUUAUUCCCAAGAAGUGCUCAACCUGAAAAAAAAAAAAAGGAUAGAUUAUCCGCAUAUGACGUGUGGAACUCAUAUUCAAUUUUAAGACUAAAUAUCUCUUCUGAGAGAAAAAUAUGACGUCCAAAAGAAGAAUCACUAUACUAUAUAUUAUCUUCCAUAGAAGGUUGCAACUCAAAUAUUUCUUAGCCUAUGUUAAAAUGCAGCUAUGGACAACCGAGAAUGGCAAGCAAACCACCAACAACACUGGAGGUUGGAUAGACAUCAACAAAAUGACAGAAGACAACAACAUGAAACCAUGAUGCAGCCAACAAGUUCUACAAAUAGCAAGAUGAAAGAUCAAAUAAUCCCUACUUGUGGUCUAGAUUCAGUUUGGUAAUGUUUUUUUUACUCAAGUUUUCUUAUUCAUAUAAAUGAAGUGAAUUAGCUUGAGGGUAAUUAUUUAGAUGUUUAUCCUUCAUUUUAGGAGUCAGAGGCCUCGCUGGAACUCUCUGGGCAGCAAUGUUUCAGAUUAAGCAAGUAGUAAUACUUCAUUUUCAUUGGAAUAAUGGAUGUGAUGAGAAUUCAAAAUUACGGGGCAUUUGAAUAUGAAAUUGUCACAAUCCAAGCUACAUGGACUACUAGCCACAUAAAUUCAUAUCCUAGAGAAUUUUAAACACACUUAUCCGAACAAACCCUAAGGCAACUCUAACCCUAGAUGUGAUGCCUAUUGGACCUUCUUGGUGAUACCUAAGAAGUUCCAGGUAUGAAUCCUACUUUUUUGUUAUUUUUCUUCAAUGUCAACAGCAAUUUCAAUCCAAUUAGACACCAAGUUUAUUCUAUGUAACUCUUAAUUUUCCUAUCAAAUAGCAUUGAUAGAACCACAAAUACUCCUAAAUUUAUUAUUCAUGUCGCUGUGCAAAGCAAUAUUCCAUCCCCCUACUUCCAGUCGUGAUAACCUCAGAAAGAACUUGUUUCUUUUCCUGUUGUAACCCAAUACACAACCCACUAUUCCUCAAGCUUCCAGACAAAAUCUCUAAAAUAGAAUAUCAACAAUUUGCUAGACAAGGAUCUUUCAUAUUCUGUUGCAGAGGGUUUAAUAGCUGUCAAAUGAUAUUCCUCAAGAAAUUCUUAAUUUAUCAAAAGUGAUUUACUUCUUUUUAAACUACUUUCCCAUUUUCCUCAAGAAAACCUCUGCAGUAGUCACACACAAUAUUUGAAAUGUUUGGAAAGACAACUCAUACCCUGGCUUAACAUGACCACUAAAGACAAGGUAGGGUGUCUUUAACUG